rnacentral:rRNA from 1 species
ACAAGCGGAGGAGCAUGUGGUUUAAUUCGAUGAUACGCGAGGAACCUUACCUGGGCUCGAACGUAAGAUGACUGUAGGUGAAAGCUUACAUCUCUUCGGAGCAUUUUACGAGGUGCUGCAUGGUUGUCGUCAGCUCGUGCCGUGAGGUGUCGGGUUAAGUCCCAUAACGAGCGCAACCCCUACCUUAGUUGCCAUCAGGUAAUGCUGGGGACUCUAAAGGAACUGCCUACGCAAGUAGUGAGGAAGGCGGGGAUGACGUCAAAUCAGCACGGCCCUUACGUCCAGGGCUACACACGUGCUACAAUGGCCGGUACAAAGGGCAGCUACCUGGUGACAGGAUGCUAAUCUCAAAAGCCGGUCUCAGUUCGGAUCGGAGUCUGCAACCCGACCCCGUGAAGCUGGAAUCGCUAGUAAUCGCGCAUCAGCCAUGGCGCGGUGAAUACGUUCCCGGGCCUU